rnacentral:rRNA from 1 species
UUAAGCGACUAAGCGUACACGGUGGAUGCCCUGGCAGUCAGAGGCGAUGAAGGACGUGCUAAUCUGCGAAAAGCGUCGGUAAGGUGAUAUGAACCGUUAUAACCGGCGAUGUCCGAAUGGGGAAACCCAGUGCAAUUCGUUGCACUAUCGUUAACUGAAUACAUAGGUUAACGAGGCGAACCGGGGGAACUGAAACAUCUAAGUACCCCGAGGAAAAGAAAUCAACCGAGAUUCCCCCAGUAGCGGCGAGCGAACGGGGAGCAGCCCAGAGUCUGAAUCAGCUUGUGUGUUAGUGGAACGGUCUGGAAAGUCCGACGGUACAGGGUGAUAGUCCCGUACACCAAAAUGCACAGGUUGUGAACUCGAAGAGUAGGGCGGGACACGUGGUAUCCUGUCUGAAUAUGGGGGGACCAUCCUCCAAGGCUAAAUACUCCUGACUGACCGAUAGUGAACCAGUACCGUGAGGGAAAGGCGAAAAGAACCCCGGCGAGGGGAGUGAAAAAGAACCUGAAACCGUGUACGUACAAGCAGUGGGAGCACCUUCGGGUGUGACUGCGUACCUUUUGUAUAAUGGGUCAGCGACUUAUAUUCUGUAGCAAGGUUAACCGUAUAGGGGAGCCGCAGGGAAACCGAGUCUUAACUGGGCGUUAAGUUGCAGGGUAUAGACCCGAAACCCGGUGAUCUAGCCAUGGGCAGGUUGAAGGUUGGGUAACACUAACUGGAGGACCGAACCGACUAAUGUUGAAAAAUUAGCGGAUGACUUGUGGCUGGGGGUGAAAGGCCAAUCAAACCGGGAGAUAGCUGGUUCUCCCCGAAAGCUAUUUAGGUAGCGCCUCGUGAACUCAUCUUCGGGGGUAGAGCACUGUUUCGGCUAGGGGGUCAUCCCGACUUACCAACCCGAUGCAAACUACGAAUACCGAAGAAUGUUAUCACGGGAGACACACGGCGGGUGCUAACGUCCGUCGUGAAGAGGGAAACAACCCAGACCGCCAGCUAAGGUCCCAAAGUCAUGGUUAAGUGGGAAACGAUGUGGGAAGGCACAGACAGCCAGGAUGUUGGCUUAGAAGCAGCCAUCAUUUAAAGAAAGCGUAAUAGCUCACUGGUCGAGUCGGCCUGCGCGGAAGAUGUAACGGGGCUAAACCAUGCACCGAAGCUGCGGCAGCGACACUAUGUGUUGUUGGGUAGGGGAGCGUUCUGUAAGCCUGCGAAGGUGACCUGUGAGGGUUGCUGGAGGUAUCAGAAGUGCGAAUGCUGACAUAAGUAACGAUAAAGCGGGUGAAAAGCCCGCUCGCCGGAAGACCAAGGGUUCCUGUCCAACGUUAAUCGGGGCAGGGUGAGUCGACCCCUAAGGCGAGGCCGAAAGGCGUAGUCGAUGGGAAACAGGUUAAUAUUCCUGUACUUGGUGUUACUGCGAAGGGGGGACGGAGAAGGCUAUGUUAGCCGGGCGACGGUUGUCCCGGUUUAAGCAUGUAGGCUGGUUGUCCAGGCAAAUCCGGAUAAUCAAGGCUGAGGUGUGAUGACGAGGCACUACGGUGCUGAAGUAACAAAUGCCCUGCUUCCAGGAAAAGCCUCUAAGCAUCAGGUAACAUCAAAUCGUACCCCAAACCGACACAGGUGGUCAGGUAGAGAAUACCAAGGCGCUUGAGAGAACUCGGGUGAAGGAACUAGGCAAAAUGGUGCCGUAACUUCGGGAGAAGGCACGCUGGUGUGUAGGUGAAGUCCCUGCGGAUGGAGCUGAGACCAGUCGAAGAUACCAGCUGGCUGCAACUGUUUAUUAAAAACACAGCACUGUGCAAACACGAAAGUGGACGUAUACGGUGUGACGCCUGCCCGGUGCCGGAAGGUUAAUUGAUGGGGUUAUCCGUAAGGAGAAGCUCUUGAUCGAAGCCCCGGUAAACGGCGGCCGUAACUAUAACGGUCCUAAGGUAGCGAAAUUCCUUGUCGGGUAAGUUCCGACCUGCACGAAUGGCGUAAUGAUGGCCAGGCUGUCUCCACCCGAGACUCAGUGAAAUUGAACUCGCUGUGAAGAUGCAGUGUACCCGCGGCAAGACGGAAAGACCCCGUGAACCUUUACUAUAGCUUGACACUGAACAUUGAGCCUUGAUGUGUAGGAUAGGUGGGAGGCUUUGAAGCGUGGACGCCAGUCUGCGUGGAGCCAACCUUGAAAUACCACCCUUUAAUGUUUGAUGUUCUAACGUUGGCCCCUUACCGGGGUUGCGGACAGUGUCUGGUGGGUAGUUUGACUGGGGCGGUCUCCUCCCAAAGCGUAACGGAGGAGCACGAAGGUUAGCUAAUCCUGGUCGGACAUCAGGAGGUUAGUGCAAUGGCAUAAGCUAGCUUGACUGCGAGCGUGACGGCGCGAGCAGGUGCGAAAGCAGGUCAUAGUGAUCCGGUGGUUCUGAAUGGAAGGGCCAUCGCUCAACGGAUAAAAGGUACUCCGGGGAUAACAGGCUGAUACCGCCCAAGAGUUCAUAUCGACGGCGGUGUUUGGCACCUCGAUGUCGGCUCAUCACAUCCUGGGGCUGAAGUAGGUCCCAAGGGUAUGGCUGUUCGCCAUUUAAAGUGGUACGCGAGCUGGGUUUAGAACGUCGUGAGACAGUUCGGUCCCUAUCUGCCGUGGGCGCUGGAGAAUUGAGGGGGGCUGCUCCUAGUACGAGAGGACCGGAGUGGACGCAUCACUGGUGUUCGGGUUGUCAUGCCAAUGGCACUGCCCGGUAGCUAAAUGCGGAAGAGAUAAGUGCUGAAAGCAUCUAAGCACGAAACUUGCCCCGAGAUGAGUUCUCCCUGAGACUUUAAGUCUCCUGAAGGAACGUU